AAUGAAGUGCCUGAUUAAACGGCUAUCGUGAUAGGAUAGAAUAUGUAAGUAAACAAUUACCUUCAUUA
rnacentral:tRNA from 1 species